GACGAACGCUGGCGGCGUGCUUAACACAUGCAAGUCGAACGAAGAGCGAUGGACGCUUGCUUCUAUCAAUCUUAGUGGCGAACGGGUGAGUAACGCGUAAUCAACCUGCCCUUCAGAGGGGGACAACAGUUGGAAACGACUGCUAAUACCGCAUACGAUCUAAUCUCGGCAUCGAGGAUAGAUGAAAGGUGGCCUCUACAUGUAAGCUAUCACUGAAGGAGGGGAUUGCGUCUGAUUAGCUAGUUGGAGGGGUAACGGCCCACCAAGGCGAUGAUCAGUAGCCGGUCUGAGAGGAUGAACGGCCACAUUGGGACUGAGACACGGCCCAGACUCCUACGGGAGGCAGCAGUGGGGAAUCUUCCGCAAUGGACGAAAGUCUGACGGAGCAACGCCGCGUGAGUGAUGACGGCCGUCGGGUUGUAAAGCUCUGUUAAUCGGGACGAAAGGCCUUCUUGCGAAUAGUGAGAAGGAUUGACGGUACCGGAAUAGAAAGCCACGGCUAACUACGUG
rnacentral:rRNA from 1 species